rnacentral:telomerase_RNA from 1 species
AAGCUCAGGUGCCAAGGGGUGGAAAGAGACUGUUGUAGCCUCGAUAGUUUCCAACCCUAAACCCGCCUUGGUUUGGGUAAACAUUUGCGGAGGUCUUUCUCUAGUGUUUCCCUCGUGUGGCUAAAAAAAGAAACACUAAUGCCCAACGAGUGCUGUCUCGCAAGAGGAGUAGAAGGUCGGGUUGGGUAUGCUUAAUGUGUGCUAACAGCUAUCAGGUCCUCGCUUCUUGGCCACCUCAAUAUUUUU